rnacentral:rRNA from 1 species
GAUGAACGCUGGCGGCGUGCCUAAUACAUGCAAGUCGAGCGAAUGGAUUAAGAGCUUGCUCUUAUGAAGUUAGCGGCGGACGGGUGAGUAACACGUGGGUAACCUGCCCAUAAGACUGGGAUAACUCCGGGAAACCGGGGCUAAUACCUGAUAACAUUUUGAACCGCCUGGUUCGAAAUUGAAAUGCGGCUUCGGCUGUAACUUAUGGAUGGACCCGCGUCGCAUUAGCUAGUUGGUGAGGUAACGGCUCACCAAGGCAACGAUGCGUAGCCGACCUGAGAGGGUGAUCGGCCACACUGGGACUGAGACACAGCCCAGACUCCUACGGGAGGCAGCAGAGGGAAUCUUCCGCAAUGGACGAAAGUCUGACGGAGCAACGCCGCGUGAGUGAUGAAGGCUUUCGGGUCGUAAAACUCUGUUGUUAGGGAAGAACAAGUGCUAGUUGAAUAAGCUGGCACCUUGACGGUACCUAACCAGAAAGCCACGGCUAACUACGUGCCAGCCGCCGCGGUAA